rnacentral:rRNA from 1 species
UAACACGUGAGCAACCUGCCUUUCAGAGGGGGAUAACAGUUGGAAACGACUGCUAAUACCGCAUAACGCUGCGAUGGGGCAUCCCGAUGCAGCCAAAGGAGCAAUCCGCUGGAAGAUGGGCUCGCGGCCGAUUAGCUAGUUGGUGGGGCAACGGCCCACCAAGGCGACGAUCGGUAGCCGGACUGAGAGGUUGAUCGGCCACAUUGGGACUGAGACGCGGCCCAGACUCCUACGGAAGGCAGCAG